GCAACGAGCGCAACCCCUACUUGUUAGUUGUCCAUCAUUCAGUUGGGCGACUCUAGCGAGACUGCCGGUAAUAAACCGGAGGAAGGUGGGGAGUGACGUCAAAUCAUCAUGCCCCUUAUGACCUGGGCUACACACGUGCUACAAUGGUUGGUACAACGAGUUGCGAGUCGGUGACGGCGAGCUAAUCUCUUAAAGCCAAUCUCAGUUCGGAUUGUAGGCUGCAACUCGCCUACAUGAAGUCGGAAUCGCUAGUAAUCGCGGAUCAGCACGCCGCGGUGAAUACGUUCCCGGGCCUU
rnacentral:rRNA from 1 species